rnacentral:rRNA from 1 species
CCUGCGACAGGACGGAAAGACCCCAUGGAGCUUUACUGUAGCUUGACAUUGGGUCUUGGUACUACAUGUACAGGAUAGGUGGGAGGCUUUGAAACCAGGACGCCAGUUUUGGCGGAGCCAUCCUUGGGAUACCACCCUUGUAGUACUGGGACUCUAACCAUAGGCCAUGAAUCUGGUCUUGGGACACUGUCAGGUGGGCAGUUUGACUGGGGCGGUCGCCUCCCAAAAGG